CCCUUAGAUGUUCUGGGCCGCACGCGCGCUACACUGACGAAUGCAACGAGCUUAUAACCUUGGCCGAAAGGUCUGGGUAAUCUCCAAAUUUCGUCGUGAUGGGGAUAGAUUAUUGCAAUUAUUAAUCUUCAACGAGGAAUGCCUAGUAAGCGCAAGUCAUCAGCUUGCGUUGAUUACGUCCCUGCCCUUUGUCCACACCGCCCGUCGCUCCUACCGAUUGAAUGGUCCGGUGAAGCGUUCGGACCGUGGCCUUUGGACGGUUCGCCGUCUGUUGGCUGCGGGAAGUUCGUUAAACCUUAUCAUUUAGAGGAAGGAGAAGUCGUAACA
rnacentral:rRNA from 1 species